GAAAUGAAAAAAGAAAACAUUAGAGUAUUAAAUAAACAGAUAAAUCAAAUAUAUAAACAAUACAUUAAAAAAAGGGCCUCAGUCAUCUGUUUAUUAUCAUUCUAGUGCCAAUGAUCUACCGAAGAUAAUAGAUUAAACAAUGAUGAAAUUAUGGUCAUGGAAGAUGAAAAUAUGGUAAUUGGUCGACAAUUCACUUUACCUUAUUUUGAAAUAAUGAUUAGAAGAUAUCUUCAAAUUUUUACACGCGACGACCAUAAUCGUCCACCAUCUAAUUAGUAAGCUG